rnacentral:lncRNA from 1 species
CCAUGCAGUAAGUUGGCCAAGGACAGACAGUUACACCAAAAGCGAGGCCACCAGGCUGAGCACAGGGUUUUAGGCGGGGCCAGCAGGAGGAGAACACGGGCUGUGGAAGGAAGUGAUCAAGACUGAAAUGCCACGUCAGGCUGGAAACUCGAGGCAGAGCAUGGGCCUCUACCAUCUCAGGAAUACGCCAGCCCCUCCAAGCCCACACUGCCUGGUGA